CAGCGCCCCCGAUACUGGAUGCGGAUAUUCGGGAUAUAUCUGGACGCAACAGCGCGCACCGUUACGUGUAUGACCUUCAAUCUAAAAACAAAUAGGAGGUUAUGAAAAUAUAAAGCUUAAAUUUAAUGGGAAUAUGUUACAUGCUGCUUCGCUAUUCAAAUUCUUGGCAUUAGGAUCUAUAAUUUCAG